rnacentral:rRNA from 1 species
AGUGAACGCUGGCGGUAGGCCUAACACAUGCAAGUCGAACGGCAGCACAGUAAGAGCUUGCUCUUACGGGUGGCGAGUGGCGGACGGGUGAGGAAUACAUCGGAAUCUACUUUUUCGUGGGGGAUAACGUAGGGAAACUUACGCUAAUACCGCAUACGACCUACGGGUGAAAGCAGGGGAUCUUCGGACCUUGCGCGAUUGAAUGAGCCGAUGUCGGAUUAGCUAGUUGGCUGGGUAAAGGCCCACCAAGGCGACGAUCCGUAGCUGGUCUGAGAGGAUGAUCAGCCACACUGGAACUGAGACACGGUCCAGACUCCUACGGGAGGCAGCAGUGGGGAAUAUUGGACAAUGGGCGCAAGCCUGAUCCAGCCAUACCGCGUGGGUGAAGAAGGCCUUCGGGUUGUAAAGCCCUUUUGUUGGGAAAGAAAAGCAGCAGGUUAAUACCCCGCUGUUCUGACGGUACCCAAAGAAUAAGCACCGGCUAACUUUGUG